rnacentral:lncRNA from 1 species
ACUGCUUAGGAUGUUUUUAAUUUUAUUUGUAAUAUCAUCAACUAAAGAGCAGUUAAUGGAUUUUGAUCAAGCACAACAGCUGAGCCAGUCAGAAAGAAGAUACCUAUCAGCAUUGAAUAAGAGAAUUAGAAUGCAUGAGACAUGGAGUUUUCUACAUGAAUGCAAAUUAAACAAGGUUUAUCCCACCUCGAUUUUUAAAAUAAAACUACCCGUUAAAUCUAAAGAAGUCCUUCUGAAUACCAAGAGGAUUUGUUUAAAAGCAGCAAUCUCAGAUGCAAAACAGAACUAUUUCCGAGCUGUUAAUGAUGAGAUAGAUAGUAAAGAAUGACUAGCUGAAACCUCCGAAGAUGAUGAGUUCAUGCAGACAUCUAAUAGAAUUUAUGAAGCCAAAAGAGUUAACCUAAGAGAAAAAUACAUCAAAAAGAUGAAAUGGAUCUUCAGAACACAAAGAGUAAAAAAGAAUAAAACUGAAAUAAAGUUAGAAGACUAUAACAGUAAUAGGCAAAAUAGAGCUUCCACCUUUUAUGUAGAAGUUAAUCCAAAAAGGCCUGGCCUGUGCCACUCUACUCAACUUAGCACCCAUUGACGAGAUCCCAUACUUGGAAAACACCUUAGAUACAUUAAGAGGCAAAGAAGGAGAAAAACAGAAAUAUAGAUGGGCUUAUGCUAGAGAAAUCUUGGCUGAUUUUAGUCAAGUCCACAUGCAAUGUAACCAGUGUAUUUUACACCACCAAGAAACCGCAUUGAUCAAGCAAGCUAUGAACUGGCUGAACCAAAACAACUAUACAAUCAUGGGAGAAGACAAGACAAAGAGAAUGGUCAUUUUGGAGUGAAGUAAGUACAAUGUAUUCCCU